AGAGUCCUGAGCUGAACAAAGAAGGAGGAGGGGGUCGGGCCUCCGAGGAAGGCCUAGCCGCUGCUGCUGCCAGGAACUCCAGGUAGGAGGGGCGGCAACCUCCUGCCAGCCUUCAGGCCACUCUCCUGUGCCUGCCAGAGGAGACAGAGCUUGAGGAGAGCAGGAAAGCAGCUAACAAGGUACAUACUGUCACCGUCCCCAUUUUACAGAUAGGGAAAUUGAGGCUCGGAGCGGUUAAACAACUCACCUGAGGCCUCAUAGCCAGUAAGUGGGUUCCCUGGUCUGAAUAUGUGUGCUGGAGGAUCCUGUGAGUCACUCACCUGGUAGAGCCCCAAGGUGGAGGCGUAAGUGGGACUGGUGAAUGACAGAAGGGGCAAAAAUGCACUCAUCCAUUCACUCCGCAAGUAUCUACGGCACGUACGCCAGCUCCCAAGCAGGUUUGUGGGUUGCACAGAGGGUGAUGCAAUCUGAUUUAGGCUUUUAAAGGGAUUGCAAUCAAGUGAGGCCCCACUAGCCUCAACCCUGUACCUCCCCUCCCCCUCCACCCCCAGAAGUCC
rnacentral:sRNA from 1 species